rnacentral:rRNA from 1 species
AUUGAACGCUGGCGGCAUGCCUUACACAUGCAAGUCGAACGGAAACAUGGAGAGCUUGCUCUCUGAUGGCGAGUGGCGAACGGGUGAGUAAUGCAUCGGAACGCACCGUGUAAUGGGGGAUAACGUACCGAAAGUUACGCUAAUACCGCAUACGGCCGGAGGGUGAAAGCAGGGGAUCGCAAGACCUUGCGUUAUACGAACGGCCGAUGUCAUAUUAGCUAGUUGGGGAGGUAAAUGCUCACCCAGGCGACGAUCUGUACCGGGUCUGAGAGGAUGAUCCGCCACACUGGGACUGAUACACAGCCCACACUCCUACGGGAGGCAGCAGUGGGGAAUUUUGGACAAUGGGGGCAACCCUGAUCCAGCCAUGCCGCGUGAGUGAAGAAGGCCUUCGGGGUGUAAGGCUCUUUCGGCCCGGAAGAAAUCGCACAAGCCUAAUACUCUGUGUGGAUGACGGUACCGGCAUAACAAGCACCGGCAUAACUACGUGCCAGCAGCCGCGGCAAUACGUAGGGUGCGAGCGUUAAUCGCAAUUACUGGGCGUAAAGCGUGCGCAGGCGGUUAGAUAAGUUUGAUGUGAAAUCCCCGGGCUCAACCUGGGAACUGCAUUGAAGACUGUCUGACUAGAGUACGGCAGAGGGGGGUGGAAUUCCACGUGUAGCAGUGAAAUGCGUAGAGAUGUGGAGGAACACCGAUGGCGAAGGCAGCCCCCUGGGUCGAUACUGACGCUCAUGCACGAAAGCGUGGGGAGCAAACAGGAUUAGAUACCCUGGUAGUCCACGCCCUAAACGAUGUCAACUAGUUGUUGGUAGGGUUAAACCUAUUAGUAACGUAGCUAACGCGUGAAGUUGACCGCCUGGGGAGUACGGUCGCAAGAUUAAAACUCAAAGGAAUUGACGGGGACCCGCACAAGCGGUGGAUGAUGUGGAUUAAUUCGAUGCAACGCGAAAAACCUUACCUACCCUUGACAUGUCAGGAAUCCCGAAGAGAUUUGGGAGUGCCGCAAGGAACCUGAACACAGGUGCUGCAUGGCUGUCGUCAGCUCGUGUCGUGAGAUGUUGGGUUAAGUCCCGCAACGAGCGCAACCCUUGUCAUUAGUUGCCAUCAUUUAGUUGGGCACUCUAAUGAGACUGCCGGUGACAAACCGGAGGAAGGUGGGGAUGACGUCAAGUCCUCAUGGCCCUUAUGGGUAGGGCUUCACACGUCAUACAAUGGUCGGUACAGAGGGUUGCCAACCCGCGAGGGGGAGCCAAUCCCAGAAAGCCGAUCGUAGUCCGGAUCGUAGUCUGCAACUCGACUACGUGAAGUCGGAAUCGCUAGUAAUCGCGGAUCAGAAUGCCGCGGUGAAUACGUUCCCGGGUCU